UUAGGAAUAUUGGGCAAUGGAGGGAACUCUGACCCAGCAACGCCGCGUGAAGGAAGAAGGUUUUCGGAUUGUAAACUUCUGAUCUGUGGAAAAAAGAAAGUGAUGGUACCACAGGAGCAAGCCACGGCUAACUACGUGCCAGCAGCCGCGGUAAUACGUAGGUGGCGAGCGUUUGUCCGGAAUAACUGGGCGUAAAGGGAGCGUAGGUGGUUGAUUAAGUGAAAUGUGAAAGCCCAUGGCUCAACCAUGGAACUGCAAUUCAUACUGGUUAACUAGAGUGCAGGAGGGGUAAGCGGAAUUCCUAGUGUAGCGGUUAAAUGCGUAGAUAUUAGGAGGAACACCAGAGGCGAAGGCGGCUUACUGGACUGCAACUGACACUGAGGCUCGAAAGCGUGGGGAUCAAACAGGAUUAGAUACCCUGGUAGU
rnacentral:rRNA from 1 species